UACGGGGGGCCAAGCGUUGUUCGGAAUUACUGGGCGUAAAGGGCUCGUAGGCGGCCAACUAAGUCAGACGUGAAAUCCCCAGGCUCAACCUGGGAACUGCGUCUGAUACUGGAUGGCUUGAAUCCGGGAGAGGGAUGCAGAAUUCCAGGUGUAGCGGUGAAAUGCGUAGAUAUCUGGAGGAAUACCGGUGGCGAAGGCGGCAUCCUGGACCGGCAUUGACGCUGAGGAGCGAAAGCUAGGGGAGCAAACGGG
rnacentral:rRNA from 1 species